CCGUUCUGCUCUGCUUCCCAGAUUUCUUCUGACUCCUUUUGCUUCAAUGACCCUAAAUCAACACCCACGUGAAAAACGAGCUUUGCCCAAGACUGCAGCACAAGUCUCCUUGGAGGUUUUGACAGUUUGGAAUAAGCCGUAGAGGAUUUUUACCGUCUCUCCUGAGGAUCCCCUACCGCCUGUGCGCAAACAUCCUACACCUGUUCUAGCUUGAGGGCAAUGCCCAGCCCAGCGUUCCAGAAAAGACCCGACUGUCCAGUAAGGGCCGCUCUGCAGAACUCCCUUGGCAGGAGAAUCCCGUCAGAAGCCAGGAUUUAACAAGAAGGUGAACCUGGACCACAGUCAGAACCAAAGAACACUCUGUGUGGAAUGAGAACUCUGCGGAGAAGCCCAUCUUGCUUGGUUCUGAGACCCAUCGCAUCCCCUCAGACCCACAGGAAGCCUGCCUUUCCAACUCUGUGGGGACAAAAUAUUUUCUGCCUGAAGCGAUACAGUGCCCAAAGAUACUUGAAGUAGUUUGGAAGGAGCUGGUGAUCAAGAAAAACUAUAUAUUCACCCAACAAAUACUUGAAAUGAACAAAUACAUUCUUCAGAAUGUAAUAAUUAGUUAUUUUUAGUAAAGAUAUUCAAGACAUAGAAUUCAGUAAAAAAGAGGUAUAGAAUUCAGUAAAGAAAAAUGGGGCACAAAAAUGUUUUCCCAGGAUGAUAAUCCUUUUUAAAAAUGUAUACACAUAUGUAUAUAAAUAUAUAUAUAUAAUAAAAUGUGCUUAACAGUGUUGACUUUGGAAUGUGGGAAUAUGUAUUUAUUUUUCUUAGCCAUAUUUUUGUGUGUUUUAACACUUAUAUAACACUUAUAUAAUUAA